rnacentral:rRNA from 1 species
GUGGGGAAUCUUCCGCAAUGGACGAAAGUCUGACGGAGCAACGCCGCGUGAGUGAAGAAGGUUUUCGGAUCGUAAAGCUCUUUCGUUAGGGACGAACGUGCUCUUUGUGAAUAAUGAGGAGUAAUGACGGUACCUAAAUAAGAAGCCACGGCUAACUACGUGCCAGCAGCCGCGGUAAUACGUAGGUGGCAAGCGUUGUCCGGAAUUAUUGGGCGUAAAGCGCGCGCAGGCGGGAUAUCAAGUCUGUCUUAAAAGUGCGAGGCUCAACCUCGUGAGGGGACAGAAACUGGUAUUCUUGAGUGUCGGAGAGGAAAGUGGAAUUCCAAGUGUAGCGGUGUAAUGCGUAGAGAUUUGGAAGAACACCAGUGGCGAAGGCGACUUUCUGGACGAUGUCUGACGCUGAGGCGCGAAAGCUAGGGGAGCGAACGGGAUUAGAAACCCCAGUAGUCC